UUAAUAUUCCGAUACUAACAUAUACCUCGAUGGAGAGACGAAGGAACGUAAGUGCCGCCACCUGACGGAAUAGGUGGUUAAAGGGCGUAGGUAUAGGGGCAGAUUAAGAGUUAGUCCUUGCUGAAACCUGACAGUACAGAGAGCCUACGGGCAAUUUGAUAGAGCACCCAAGUCGACUUCCGAGAAAAUCUUCUAAGUUAUAGUAUAUGUUACCCGUACCGUAAACCGACACAGGUGGUCGAGGAGAGUAUCCUAAGGUGCUCGAGUGAAUCACGGUUAAGGAACUAGGCAAAUUAACCCCGUAACUUCGGGAAAAGGGGUCCCUACGCGAGUAGGGCGCAGCGAAGAGGUCCAGGCGACUGUUUAUCAAAAACACAGGGCUCUGCAAAUUCGAAAGAAGACGUAUAGGGCCUGACACCUGCCCGGUGCUGGAAGGUUAAGAGGGGAUGUCAUCGCAAGAGAAGCAUUGAAUCGAAGCCCCAGUAAACGGCGGCCGUAACUAUAACGGUCCUAAGGUAGCGAAAUUCCUUGUCGGGUAAGUUCCGACCUGCACGAAUGGUGUAACGAUCUGGACACUGUCUCAACCGUGAGCUCGGUGAAAUUGUAGUCCCGGUGAUGAUGCCGGGUACCCGCAACGGGACGAAAAGACCCCGUGAACCUUUACUAUAGCUUAACGCUGAAUUUGGGUACACAAUGUGUAGGAUAGGCCGGAGGCUUUGAAGCGGGCACGCCAGUGUUCGUGGAGCCGACGUUGAAAUACGGCCCUUUGUGUAUUUGAGUUCUAACCCUGCGAAGGGGACACCGUUUGGUGGGUAGUUUGACUGGGGUGGUCGCCUCCAAAAGCGUAACGGAGGCUUCCCAAGGUACCCUCAGCACGAAUGGUAACCGUGCGCGGAGUGCAAUAGCAUAAGGGUGCUUGACUGUGAGACAUACAAGUCGACCAGGUACGAAAGUAGGGUAUAGUGAUCCGGUGGUUCUGCGUGGACUGGCCAUCGCUCAAAGGAUAAAAGGUACUCCGGGGAUAACAGGCUGAUCGCCGCCAAGAGCUCAUAUCGACGCGGCGGUUUGGCACCUCGAUGUCGGCUCGUCACAUCCUGGGGCUGGAGAAGGUCCCA
rnacentral:rRNA from 1 species